AAUGAACGCUGGCGGCAGGCCUAACACAUGCAAGUCGAACGCAUCGCAAGAUGAGUGGCAGACGGGUGAGUAACGCGUGGGAACCUUCCCAGUGGUGCGGAAUAGCUCAGGGAAACUUGAGGUAAUACCGCAUGAGCCCGCAAGGGGAAAGAUUUAUCGCCAUUGGAUGGGCCCGCGUCGGAUUAGCUAGUUGGUGAGGUAACGGCUCACCAAGGCGACGAUCCGUAGCUGGUUUGAGAGAAUGACCAGCCACACUGGGACUGAGACACGGCCCAGACUCCUACGGGAGGCAGCAGUGGGGAAUAUUGGACAAUGGGCGCAAGCCUGAUCCAGCCAUGCCGCGUGAGUGACGAAGGCCUUAGGGUUGUAAAGCUCUUUUGGUCGGGGACGGAUAAUGACGGUACC
rnacentral:rRNA from 1 species